rnacentral:lncRNA from 1 species
UUUACUGGUAAGUCUCCUAUAACUGUAUUUGUUUUUGUUUCCGUUGAUUUGUUUGUCCGUUUGUGAAUCAAUCCUUUUUUGUUUGUUCUAUAUACUAUACUCUAUUGUAGAUUGGUGUAAUGAUGAAUAUCUUGACUUUUUAAGUUGUUACAAAUCCCAAAAGUUUCAUCAUUACUGCCUUUUUUUGGGUCAUGAUCUGUGUUUCUUUGGUCAGUAACGUAUGCCCUAUUGUUUGUUAUAGUAGUAGUAUAUAGUCAUGGUGUGUUAUGAUUGUGGUCAUCAUAGCUUUUUGCCUCUCUCUUUCUGCAAACAUUCAGAUCUGGUUUCCUGCCUUUCUUCAUAAACCUUUUUUUUUGCUGUGGGUCAAUUUCUUCAUAAAUAUAUACAGUUAAAAACAAUUGACUAGAAAUACAGCUAAUAAUAUUGAAGGUUAGGUAGAUAUUCCUAUUUUUUUUUUACUUGUUACCUCUAAUGGCCUGCUAGUUUAGAAUUCUAAUCUUCAAUGUGAACACAGAAAAAGAGAAACACUGUUUGUUACAAGACAAAGAGAAAGCUUUUCUGUAAGACUUACGAAACACCAACACGGUGCUUGAUUUGAAAUAUAUUCUGCAGACAAUUUCUCUAACUUGUUUCCCCUCUUCUCCUUCGUCAUAUUGGACACUCACAUAAUCUCCUUAGACUCUGAUAUCUCAUGAAUCUCAAUAGCUAAAUUGAUUGACUACGUCAACUUUCACUUUGUUAGUAAGAUUUUGAUUCAAAUAGGACUAGUAGUAUUUGAUCACAGUUUUUGCUUAAGAAUUUGGUAGAAUUCGAUAGUUUUGACCUUUAAUCAUAUGCAUUUAAACAUUUACUUAAUAUAUAUAAAUAGUUUAUCUAGAAUAUAGUAAGUUCUAUUUCUAAAUCUAAUAUUUACUAACUCAAAAUCCUAAUUCGUUUCUUCAAAUUCUCAAACCUGGUGGGAGUCUAUAUUUGAGACUAUCGGAGCAAUGUACUGUUUGUUUGAACUUAAAAAGCUGUUUUUUUUUUAAAAUUACUAUAUGAAAAGCUCAGCAUCUAUUCUCAGUUUACCUUUCAACUUCAUUUGAGAUUUUUGAUUGAGAUUUACAAAAUAGAUACUCAGGUAGUAAAUUAGUUUCAAGUUUGUGAUGGUAAAUUGUGUGGACAUGAAAUUAGUGAAAGAAGUGGGAAACUAUAGAGGUAGCAAGCUUUAAUUGCAUUAUUGGCAUUCAUCUUCUUAGAGUAAAUAAUAUAGGUUGUAAAUGUAGAUCUAUGAAUUCAUUUAUAGUGUUAAAAAAUUACAAUAUGUAUAAAAAGUGAGUGAAAGGGAAUACUGUUUGUGGAGAUGGAAUCUUUUUGACUUUGCAAAUCAAUAAAGUGGAGGCUGUACGCAUAUUGCCUUUUUGCUUUUGCUUUCCUCUAUUUCCACAAACAAACGUGUACACAAAAACUAGCA